AUGAAAACUGAAAUUUUAUUUAUUUUUUUAUUUAUUGCAACCAGAGCAUUAUGUAGUAUUUCUAAAUGUGUCAAUUAUAUUAAGUCAUUAAAAAGGAUUAAACAAAAUUUACAAGAAGAAUAUUUUUUUAUAAAAAAUAAUUUUUUAAAUAACAAAAAAAACCAAAUAAAAAAAUGGAAAAUAAAAGAAAACUGCAAUAAUUAUAUAAAUUUAUAUACAAUUAAAAAACCUUUAAAAUGUAAAGUUAUAGAUAAAGUAAAGUUAGUACGAGAAAAAGCAUUACACGAAGUUUAUAAUUUGAUUAUAUAUCAUAAUGGUAUGUUUAAAUAUAUAGAAGGUCAAUCAUGUGGUAUUAUACCGUAUUACAAACAAAACAGUGACGACAUAGAUAUUAACACAACAAUACCAAGAGUUAAAAAUAUACAUACGGAUGAACAAAGUAAAAUAUGUAGUAAUGUUGAUAAUAGUAUAAAAUGUGAUAAUAGUAAUAGGGACGACAGUAAUAAAAUAAAUCCUUCUCUAAAAAAAGCAAGAUUGUAUUCUAUAUCUUCUUGUAAUAAUAGUCCUUAUCUAUCUAUAGCUGUUAAAAUACAUACGUAUGAACAGAAAAAUAUUGAUAAUGUUGUGGAGUUAAAAUAUGGUUGUUGUUCAGGAUUUGUAAAAAAAUUAAAAAAAAAUGAUAAUAUAUAUUUAACUGGAGCUUAUGGAAACUUUGUAUUACCAACUGAUUUUUUUGAAAAAAAUAAAAAUUUAAUUUUAGUAGCUACUGGAACAGGUAUAUCACCGUAUAUAGGUUUUUUAAAAAAAAUAUUAAAAAAAAAUGAUAGUAAUAAAAAUAUACAAAAAUAUAAUGGUACUAUAUAUUUAUUUUACGGUAUAUAUAACGAAGAUUCUAUUUUAUAUUUAGAUGAUUUGGAAUAUUUUAAAAAAAUAUAUCCUAACAAUUUACAUAUUUAUUAUAUUUUUUCUAUUAACAAAAAUAUAGAUGGUUCAUCAUAUUAUGUACAAGAUGAAGUAGUGAAAAAACAAAAGGAAAUAAUCCAUUUAUUUAAUAAACACGAAACUGAGAUGUAUAUAUGUGGACAUAAGGGAAUGAAAACAAAAAUUUUACAAAUGUUAAAAAAUUCAAAUGAUUUUGAUGCAAGUAAAAAAAAAAAUGUACACAUAGAAGUUUAUUAG
rnacentral:lncRNA from 1 species